rnacentral:rRNA from 1 species
AUUUUUCACAAUGGGCGAAAGCCUGAUGGAGCGACGCCGCGUGGGGGAUGAAUGGCUUCGGCCCGUAAACCCCUGUCAUUUGCGAACAAACCUUUUUGGAUAACACCUGAAGAGCUGAUUGUAGCGAAAGAGGAAGGGACGGCUAACUCUGUGCCAGCAGCCGCGGUAAUACAGAGGUCCCAAGCGUUGUUCGGAUUCACUGGGCGUAAAGGGUGCGUAGGUGGUUGGGUAAGUCUGAUGUGAAAUCUCCGAGCUCAACUCGGAAAUGGCAUUGGAUACUAUUCAGCUAGAGGGUUUGAGGGGGGACUGGAAUACUUGGUGUAGCAGUGAAAUGCGUAGAUAUCAAGUGGAACACCAGUGGCGAAGGCGAGUCCCUGGAAAACUCCUGACACUGAGGCACGAAAGCUAGGGGAGCAAACAGG